rnacentral:rRNA from 1 species
CGGACCGGCGCACGGUGAGUAACGCGUAUGCAACUUACCUAUCAGAGGGGGAUAACCCGGCGAAAGUCGGACUAAUACCGCAUAAAGCAGGGAUCCCGCAUGGGAAUAUUUGCUAAAGAUUCAUCGCUGAUAGAUAGGCAUGCGUUCCAUUAGGCAGUUGGCGGGGUAACGGCCCACCAAACCGACGAUGGAUAGGGGUUCUGAGAGGAAGGUCCCCCACAUUGGUACUGAGACACGGACCAA